GGGGGAUAUUGCACAAUGGAGGAAACUCUGAUGCAGCAACGCCGCGUGAGGGAAGAAGGUCUUCGGAUUGUAAACCUUUGUCCUUGGUGACGAAACAAAUGACGGUAGCCAAGGAGGAAGCUCCGGCUAACUACGUGCCAGCAGCCGCGGUAAUACGUAGGGAGCGAGCGUUGUCCGGAUUUACUGGGUGUAAAGGGUGCGUAGGCGGCUCUGCAAGUCAGGUGUGAAAACCAUCGGCUUAACUGAUGGACUGCAUUUGAAACUGUGGGGCUUGAGUGGAGUAGAGGCAGACGGAAUUCCCGGUGUAGCGGUGAAAUGCGUAGAGAUCGGGAAGAACACCAGUGGCGAAGGCGGGCUGCUGGGCUCUAACUGACGCUGAGGCACGAAAGCAUGGGGAGCAAAC
rnacentral:rRNA from 1 species